rnacentral:tRNA from 1 species
CCUCUGAGCUAAGUGG